UUUCUUUUAAUUCGCGACAAUGUCUGGCCGCGGCAAGGGCGGGAAGGGCCUGGGCAAGGGCGGCGCCAAGCGGCACCGCAAGGUGCUGCGCGACAACAUCCAGGGCAUCACCAAGCCCGCCAUCCGGCGGCUGGCCCGGCGCGGCGGCGUCAAGCGCAUCUCCGGCCUCAUCUACGAGGAGACCCGCGGGGUGCUCAAGGUGUUCCUGGAGAACGUGAUCCGGGACGCCGUCACCUACACGGAGCACGCCAAGCGCAAGACGGUCACGGCCAUGGACGUGGUCUACGCGCUCAAGCGCCAGGGCCGCACUCUCUACGGCUUCGGCGGUUGAGAAUUUCACUUUGGUCUGAGCAUUGCGCAUUUCUCUAACGGCCCUUUUCAGGGCCAUCUAUUUCGUCGCAGGAAAGAGUUGCUCACUUUUUGGUUGCAUUAUUGUAAUUUGGCGUUUACUGGUCUUUGGCCUCACGUCCAUCAGUGGAGAGAUUGCCCGCGCCUUUGUUCGCUGUCUUCUCCCAAGAGGUGCUUUUAUCCACCCUUGACUCCAAAAGCAUUUUCUUGGAAGCUGUGUUAAGUGCAGCUAGAAGGAGCUUUGAAGCGACUGAUGGGAAUUCGUGCUCCUCAAAGGUUGACAUCAAGUACAGGAUACGUUAACUCACUGGACACUGCCUGUCCUGGAUGCCACAGCAGCUCAGAGAUCCUGGGGAUGGCCGACAUAUAGCUGACCGAAGGUCAUCUUUGUGCUGUGGCUCUCUGGGCUACUGGAAAGAUCACCAGAGACAACUCAACUACAAUGUAAGAAGAUCUGUCCGAUUGCCAGUCCCUGACCUCCUUCUGUCUCAAGAUGGUGUCAACUCUGCCAUGUAGAAGUCUACCCAACUGGUCAUCCCAGAACUGGGACUCAGAAACUGGGUUUACAUUUGAUCCACUCAUCAACCAUUGUUUUCUUUUUGUUUCCAUAGAAAUGCUUUUUAUUUAACACCUGCAUAUUUGAAACAUAGACCUAACCUGGAGAAUACACCUUGAUCACUACCUUCUGAAAUGAGUUUGACUAUGUUCAAGACUAAGAGACUAGAUCAAGGAGAGGAAAUGACCUAUCAGUUCAACUUUUAAUAUGUGAAACUCCCAAGGAAGUUUCGGAUAGGGAAAAUGAAGGGGUUCAGGAUGCCCACCUCGCACCCCACCCUCCCAGAAUGUGCCAUUUUGACAUGUGGAUUAUUUGGACUUAAAGGCAUUCGAGACCCAGCAGCUCAGGAAAAUUUGGUCUCUUAAUGAAACAGAAGAAUCUAAAUUGGGGGUCUUUCCUAGAAUAAGGGUGAUUAACAAAGAUAGAUUCUAUCCGAGCGACCCAUUUGUCAGGCAGGGCAAACAUGAAAUUACUAAACAUGUGCUUUUCCUAUCCCUCGGUGAAUUCCCUUCUCUCCCCCUAAUGUCCCACAUCCCUACCGCUUUCUCCGUGGUUCAGGAUGUCAUACAUACUUUAUUUUGCCAGGCUUUGAAAUUCCCAUGUCUAUGUGGAUUCCGGGUAUGUACUCUAUUAAAUUUGAUUUUCAACUGUUAAUCUGUCCCAUGUCAAUUUGAUUCGUAGUCCAUCUAGGACCUUGAAGUACAGAGGAAUCCUUCCUCCCUAACAUCAGAGUUCUAGAAUAUGUAUAAUAUUUUAUCCUUUUAUGAUGUUUAUCAUUUUUUUAUAAACCAAAAACCUGUGUGUAAUUAAAAAUGUGCAUUAGAA